AGAGCGAACGCUGGCGGCAGGCCUAACACAUGCAAGUCGAGCGCCCGUAGCAAUACGGGAGCGGCAGACGGGAUAGUAACACGUGGGAACGCGCCCUUCGGUUCGGAAUAACUCAGGGAAACUUGAGCUAAUACCGAAUACGCCCUUACGGGGAAAGAUUUAUUGCCGAAGGAACGGCCCGCGUCCGAUUAGCUAGUUGGUGAGGUAAUGGCUCACCAAGGCUACGAUCGGUAGCUGGUCUGAGAGGAUGACCAGCAUCACUGGGACUGAGACACGGCCCAGACUCCUACGGGAGGCAGCAGUGGGGAAUAUUGGACAAUGGGCGCAAGCCUGAUCCAGCCAUGCCGCGUGGAUGAUGAAGGCCUUAGGGUUGUAAAGUCCUUUUAACGGGGAAGAUAAUGACGGUACCCGUAGAAUAGCCCCGGCUAACUUCGUGCCAGCAGCCGC
rnacentral:rRNA from 1 species